GAUAUUUUUGGUGGAGUUUUUCUAAGUGCCUCUAUCCUUUUAGUGCAUCAGUGCCGAACAAAUUCAGAGCGGUAUCAUACAAGUAUCGGAUUAAUAACAAACAGAGAAGACCACUCAAAUCAAUUUUUCAGAACAAAUCUACUAAUGGAGCAGAAAAUCUAUAAUACAAAAUGGUCUUUUAGGCCUCGCAUUAUUUUGCUAGAUGGUAAUUCAGUAACAUGCAUGCCUGGUCACACCAAGUUGGAGAGUCCGUGCUACUUUAAACACAUCAAAGUAACUCUAAAGAAUGAAUCAAUAGACUUUGAUCAUAGGUAUAUACUCCUAUCAAAUCUAGGUUCACAAGUAAAUUAGCAAUUCAAGUACACAUAUCACAGGGAAACUUUAUGAGCAUGUCAAGUAAUUGAUUCAAAGAUGGUUCCCACAUGCUUGAGAUUUGGACUAAUAUGCAAGAUGAAAAAGUACAUAAAGAUUACCUAACAAGAAUCCUAUGCAAACUCACCCCCACACUUAGUUUGGACAGUGUCCUAAUUGAACAAAACAAAAAAGUUGCAUAGGAAUACCUAAAAGCCGAACUUGGCAAGAAGCAUGAUCCAUUGAAACCCGAACUUGGCGGCUAACUAACUCCUAAAACUCACUCAAACACAGACACACAAAAACCAAAAAUAAAAGUAAAAAUAAACUAGGACAAGUGUCCAAGUCCCACACAUAACAAAAGUGGAUUUAUAAUCCAAAAAAUAAACAAAAUAAAAAGUCUAAAGUAGAACGACUAACACUUAAGCAUGCAAUUUGACUCAAAGAAUUAGAAAAACACUAACUCGGUUAUGCAAUCCAACUAAGCACCUCCUUGCAUGCCAUCACUUUCUUCAUGGUGAAAAGUUGAGUGCCGAGUAGCAAUUGAAGUAGAUGACGAAAUAACCCAAGUAGCUUGCUCAAAUUCUGUUUGUCAUCCCAGAAUGACUUUCUCCUUUUGAAUUUAUAAAGUUGAGGAGGGAAGAGAUAAUAAGGUGUGUCACUACCAAUAACCUCAAUCUUCUCCAAGCCACUUGAAAGGUCUUAUGGGUUGAGUAUGAGUGGUUCCUCUUCUAUAACCUCUUCAACCUUGAUAUUAAGGUGCUUGCUAUUAGUUUCCUGACACAAGAGCUUCAUGACCGAGCAAGAAUUUUGAAAGGCCUCAACAUUCUUUGGUGGAACCACAAUCGCUGAGAUGUCAUUGUAGAUGGAGCACUUUAUAUCUUCUAUCACCAAAGUCGGAAUAUGAGAUUCAUCCUCCCAUAAUGUUUCGAUGAGAUAUUCAUUAUCGUCUUCUUUGUAUUCUUCUAGUACUUCGUUGCAGACAGUUUGAAUUUCCUCAGUGACUUGUUCCCGCGUAUCUUCAUCGUCAUCCCAAAAGCUUGAAGAAGACACAUCCCAUUCGUAUUUUCCAAGUACAUCAUCACAUAUAAUGUGAACUUCACUAAUGGUUGGUGUAUCUUCUAAAUCUUCAUCUUCUUCCUCUAAUAGUUGGAAAGGUAAUUCACUCAUCUCCCAUUCAUGAUCUUCUAGCUUUUCAUCAUGGUCGGUUACAUUUUCUUCAAGGAUUGGUUCAUCUUCUUCCUCUAUGAUCACCAUAUCUCUUCUAAUAGUGAGGAAAUCCUGAAUGUCCUCAAUAUUGUCUAACUCGACAUCCUCGUCAAAGAAAGUAUUAGCAGGCUCUAUCCUUGAAGUCACCUCGUUAGCGGCACCCAUUCUCUUCAUAAAUGCUUCUCGGGCCUCCAUCAUUUCCUCAAACCACAAUCUGUUUUUAACUUCACUGUCUUAAAUAUACACGUUUAGUUCUUCAUAAGCCGUAGACAGUUAAUAGUGAUAAUUAUGCGUAAGCCUAAUUCUCUUCAUCACCUCUUCCUAUGCAGCAAGCCUUACCUCCCGUGUCGCACGCAUUUCCUUGAUAUCUUGAAGGUAAUUGUUCAGUGAUGGCUCUUUAUAACUUUGAGGAAGUUGAUAGUGAUAAUUCCGUGCAAGCUUCUGGUGGUAUGGAGUUGAGUAAGGAUCUUGAUAACAAGAUGGCGAUGAUUGAGACUCGUUGUGACUCCACCACUGGUUGUAUCUUCUAUACUCCUCCAUCAGCACACUCAAACAAAACUACCAAGGUGAAACUGACAAAAGAAAAAUAUACAAAAGAUGGAAAUUUAAAAUAAAUGGAUAAUUAACAUUAAACUAACUCCUUUCAAACACAACAAAGAAGUCCCCGACAACAGCGCCAAUUUGACGAAUGGUUUUUACUCGUCUCAAAAUAAGCCUAGUUAACGAAUUAACUGGAGUCAAAUCUCCCUAGAGUCUCUUUUAGUAUCCUACUCAAAGUUGUAAUUAAUAGCAAUCAAAGUAAUAAGUAGUGUGGUUUAAGUGCCACGAGGAUCAAUCAAACGGUCAAAAAGAAAAAUGAAAUUGCUUAAAAGUAACUGGUUUGCAAGACUGCAAUAUAAGUUUAGACAAUCAAAGAUGAAAUUACUUAGAUGUUAAAUCCCAUAGGCAAUUCUAAUUCACAAAUGACAGACAAAUUCCACGAUUUAAACAAAACAUGAAAGAUGCAUUACACUAUCACAAAUCUUCUCUAAUCAAAUCACACUCUUUUGGGUAUGCUAAUUUGAUACCUAUCUAGUAUUCUAGUUCACUCUUUCGACACAAAGAUCUAAAACCCGCUAGGCGAUUUACCGAUUUAGAAUUAUUCAUACGACAAACUAGUUCAUUUGCUCCCGGAUGAGGAUUAACGUCUAACCUAGUUAUUUGAUUUCGGCGUUCUAGAUAUGUAAACUCUUUCGAGUCUAUGAAAAAUCUAACAGAGAUUUAAUUCAAGUUUAUCAAAAACGAAAUCAAAUAUGCAAUGAAAUUCAUACAACUCACAUAAAUAGUCAAACGUAUCAAAUUAUUUGUUCAUAGGAAUGUACUUAGGGUUUAUCUAAUCUAAGAACGAGGAGUUUAGCUACUCACAAUCUCAAAGAACAAAUCAUAUUCAAAGAAGGAAGACAUUGGAAUGAAGUUUGCAAGAAGAAAUCCAAAAAACCUAAUUUUGCCGAUUCCCGCCGAAGAACUUGAUUCGCCGAUCUUGAUUAUGUCUUCCGAUUCAAGCUCCUUGAAGUCGAUGCCUUCAUGUCGCUCUGAAGUUUCUCAACUAUCCUCUGAAUUUCGUCCAAAAAGGUCUCCUUCGAAUGAGAGAGAACCCAGAUGUUUAUAUCGUCUAUUCCCAAUUGGAGAAGAAAAAUUGUAGAGAAAACCCGUCUGGACGAGGACACGCCAUGUGCCUUUGGACAGACCCUGUUCCUAAAGGUCUUAUCCUCUCUUCUUUCUUCAGGGCACAAAGGAAAGGAAACCACUAGCUUCUUUUCCCGGAUAAAGAUGAGGAAUUCCUACUCCCUGGGAUCUUUUGAUCUUUAACUAUAUCGCGUAGGAGAUCUUUCAUAGUGAUUCCAAUCCGUCUUGAAGGCUUUAGGUGGUUCUUCCAAAGGAUUGGACACCCGCAUGUUCUCUAAAAAUUGCUUCUUGGUCCGAAAGUUCUAGAGAAAAGGACACGGUCAUGUCCUUGUAGAACACGUCGUGUCCCAAGGACAUGUCGUGUUCUCUAGGGACACGGCCGUGUUCCAUGAAAUUAACUUCUCGAUCGUAACUUCUAGUGAAAAGGACAUGAGUGUGUUCUUUAGGAACAUGCCUUGUCCCAAGGGACACGACGUGUUCCCCUUGAGUUUCAGUACCCAUCCGCUCUGAGCAAUGUAAAUCAUCCGUCUUAGUUCCCGUUUGUCCCCAAACACUAUAUAUCACCUGAACUUUUUGAUUUAUUCAUUCUUUAAUGCAUUUAACUCAUCUUUGCACAUCAUAUAAUUUCGAAUAGUGCCCCGACGUUGUUAUGUGCUGGAAAUCAAUAAAAACACUCCAAACGACAUCAAAAGGACCCUGAACAGGCCUGAUACACUAAAUCGAGAUAGAUGUUAGAAAUGCACGAAACAUGCUAAACUUCUACCCAAAACUAUAUAAAUAUGCAUGAAAUGUCGCUUAAAUGAGGAUGAUGAACACGCAAAAUCGAGUGUCAUCAGUAAGCAGAUUAGCAACCUGGUCUUCAGUUCAAAUGUAGAACAAUUUCACCAAAGAGUAGCAACAAGCUCGCAGACAAAGUGAACAUGUGUCUCGAAGUGUUUGGUGCGAUCAUGGAACACAAGAUUCUCCGCAAUUUGAAGAGCACUCCUGUUAUCACCAUAAAGAUGAGCAAAGAGAGUACUCACCCCCACUAAGUUCCACCAUAAGACGAGACAACCAAACAAACUAGGAACAAACAUCAGACAUGGACCGCUACUCUGCUUCUGUAGAAGACUUGGAGACACGGUCCUGCUUCUUGCAACGCCACGUAACACAGGUAUCCCCAAGCAUAACACACCAACUAGACAUACAACGGCGAGUGUCCAGACUUCAAGCAUGAUCAUCAUCGACAAAGGCGGUGAUAUCACAAGAUCCUGUAGAAGGAAGAAGAAUCCGAAUGGUCAGAGUACCAUGCAAGUCGCUGAUGAACGGAUUUUACUCGUUUAAAAAUAAACCUAAUUACCUAAGUAAUCAGGGUCAUAUUUUCCUGAGGUCUGAAUGUCGUGUCUACUCAAAGUUAUAAAAAAAAUCUAAUCAAUUAAGUAGGUUUUGUGGGGUAGGUUCGAAAAUCUCUAAAACUAUCAAUUAAACAAAAUAUGCGAAUAACCGAGAAAACAUAGGUUGCAAGACUGCACAAAUAAUGAUGGAGAAACGCUAAUGGAUAAAAUUUCGUAGAGUUUGAAUCCACCUAAGCUAUCCAGACAAAUAAGUGAUAUCCAAUUAACUCAAUUUAUGCCAAACAAGUUGUAUAGAAUUUACCGCCGCAAUCCUUCUCUACUUGGGUCACGCCUUUUGGAUCUGCUAACCUACUACCAUCCUACUAUCCUAGUCCGCUCUCUCGAGACAAAUAUUUGAAACCGGUACGGCUAUAAAUCAAAGAAGAAUUGCUCUCAUGACGGAGUAGUUUAUUCGCUCCCGGAUGAGGGUUACCGCCUAACCUAAUUGAUUAAUUUUGGUGUUCUAAGAUAAACAAGCUCUUUCGAGAUGAUGCAAAUUUAAAAAUAUCCUACUCAAGAAGGCCACAUAAGAACACGAACCCGAUCGAAAUCAAUCAUAAAUUGAAAUAAAACACACUUGCAUAAAUCGAAAUAAUCAAAAUAUCAUUAGUUCAUAAGGAAUCACUUAGGGUUCAUCUAAUCUAAGCAAGAAGGAGUUUAGCUACUCAUAACCAUGAAGAACAAAUCGAAAUCAACAAAAGAAGACAUUGAAAUCAGAUUUACAAGAAGAAAUCUCAGAAACCGAAUUUCGCCGAGUUCCACGUACCAAAGUUUUAGGAAAUUGAACAAGCUUUCCAACGGAACCGGCCUAGCAUCAAUCAAACUUCUUAGCUAAGAGAUAUGUGCAAAAUACGAAUCUACAAAGUUUUUCGACACAGUCAAGAUCCAAGCUCCUUGAAGAUGUCAAAAUGCUUCUCAUUGCUUGUCCUAGAUCAUUCAUACAUGUCGUAUCACUCCAAUUAAUGCCUUAAUGGCGUCAUGUACGUGAAAUCUGUAAAAACACUCCAAAACUACGUCAUAUGGACCCGACCGGAUCUGAGUCACUAAAUUGAGAUAAAGGCUUAAAAUGCAUAAAACAACCGAAACUUCUACCUAAAGAAAUCUAAUUAUGCAUGAAAUAUCACUUAAUGAGGUCGAUAAAUGCGACAAAUCUAGCGUCAUCAGUAGCGCAGGAUGCGAUGCAUGGAUGCCAAAUGAGAACUAUGAGGAGCUGAAAUAAACUGGCUCACCUCCUGGACAGCAUAAGAUAUAUCCGGCCGAGUAGAAAUAAGAUAAAUCAAACGUCCCACUAACUGCCGAUAUAAUCAAGGAUCAUCAAGAGGAGUACCAUCGUCAGGACUAAGCUUAAGAUUAAGCUGAAUGGGUGUUGAAACGGGCGUGCACUCCGAGAAAUCAGCCAUGUCAAGAAGGUCGCAUAUAUAUUUAUGCUGAGACACAAAUAUACGAGUUGGCUGUCGAAGAAUUUCAAGACCCAAGAAAUAUGAGAGAUGGCAUCAGAUCCUUACGCAGGGAAUGUGAAGUAAGAACAUUCUUCACCUCUAUAAUACCAACUGAAUCAUUCCUAGUGAGCACCAUAUCUUCCACAUAAAGGGGCAACACAGUCAGAAACAGAGAGGAUUGAUAGAGAAAAAGAUAAGGAUAUUGAGCAGUCUGAACAAAACCAUGCUAAAAUAGAACAGUAGUAAAUUUAUCAUAACUGCCCAUAUCCCCAAUUAUGGAUUGGAGUUUGAAAUUGCCGACUACAUGUGAGUAAUGGCGCCAUCUAGGGUUGGAAACGAAGGGGUAUCGAGGAGUAGAAUAGCAGAUAAUCUGAUUGCUGGAGUCUGGAGAUAGGACUGGAGUUAGGCUUGGCUUGAAUGAUUGAAUCGAGAUUGUGAAGUGGAGGAUUGAAUCGAGACGAGGAUUGAAUGUGAUUUGGGAAUUCGAUGAGUGGACUGGAGGAGGAUUCAAAGGGGUAUCUCAGUGUGAGUUUAUGACUGUGGUUGUUAGAGAGUAGAAACUUAGACGACUUAGGAUUCAUCGAAGCAAUUAACCUUGGAAUAUAGUUUCUCGAGAUGAGUCCAAAUUUGCACAGUAGAUGAGACAGUUCGAAGAGUUAGAGCAAUUCGCGGUUGUACCCAGUUUAUAAUCCAGCUAACGACCUUUGCGUUGUUGGUCUUCCAAAUUUUGAGAUUCUUUUGAAAUGUUGCGAGUUCCUAUGCACUCUUAGUCUCGGUAGCCAUCUUAGCAGCAUCAUGAGUAGAUGAAGUGGAUAUAGGGGUUGGAGCUUGUGGUUCAGCAGCCGUUCUGUCAAGAUUAGAAAUCAGUCCCUUUCCGGCCACAAAAUACAAAAAAAAUUAACUCCUAAAUUGCAUAGUCGUUCUUCCCAUUGAACCUGGCAAACAAUGAUUACGAUGAACCAGGCUUCGACACCAUGAUAUCAUAUGAGAAGAAUGAAUCGAAAGAUGAAAGAUACACAAUGUAACGUGGUUCCCCAAUAGUGUGUUGAGUACGUCCACAGACCAAAGGGAGCCGAUCUUAUUAUCGAAGAGGAGCCAAAUACGAUAGAUACAAGAGAUCUUACUAUGCACUGAAUAUAUAGCAUAGCUGAACCAACCCUACACGCCUACACUCUUUGGCUCAUAAGACAGCCAAACACGGCAGCCCAACCGUGACAAAAAAAAUGCCCCAAACAAAAGUAGACCCAAACCCAGACUACAAUAGACCCAAAAUACUGGUACAUUAACACUAUGAGGUUUUAUUUCUAUUAGCAUAUAAUAAAAACAUCAACGUUCAAUACAUCUCUCGUAAAAGUAAAUAAAUUAGCUCAUCAAAUAGCAAGUUAUUCUUUACAAUUUCUACCACAUUCCUCACAACUUAGCAAUCUCACCCUCCUGACAAUCAACAAAAUGUUCUCUUCGUAACAUCAACCUGACAUGUAAAUCCUAACCUGUAGGUUUUGUAUUUUUUAGCCCCCCCCUUUCUUCUCACCACUCAUUUUCCUUUAUUUUUUUAUAUUUUAGAAUAUUAGGAUGUAUAGUUGCGCUAUCUUUUCUCCUCUAUGGCUUGGGGUUGAUUUGACAAAAACUAUUUGGUUUGGCUGCAUAGUAAUUGGCGGCUGCAGUUCCAGAAAAUACAAGAGUCAAGUGUCACAAUGAGUUCAGAUAGCUGGGAGUCUGAGAAGGUGAUUAGAUGAGAGAGAGAAAGGAUCAGGAGUUCCCAUAUUCUUUGAGACACAACAUGAGGGAAGGCCUUGUUGUAGAGGUUGAUCGAGAGACCACAAUGAGCACCGUGUACCAAGCUCGGAAUCACCACAUCAUCGAGGAACUAUGGAGAGGAUGCAUGUACGUAACAUCCCGUCCCUAAAUCUAUUAUAGUUGAACCACUAGUUCAACAUAUAUAACGACUAAUUAGGAUUACGAUGCAACACACAAGUCAAACCGAGAAAUUAAAGUUAAUGAUUAGAACUCUACAAAUAUUAUAUAUUCAUCAAUAUUAAAAUGAGAGUUACUAUUGCAUCGAGAAGGUAUGAUCCCAUCCAACCAAUCCUAUGUAAGCGUUAUGUCUAACAAAAAAUGUAAGGCUUAUAUUUACUCCAUAAACUCUAUAUUCUAUGAAAGUUACUAUUGCAUCAAAAAUUUAUGAUCCCCUCCAAUCAACCAUAUGAAAACGUUAUGUGUAACAAAAAAUAUAAGGUUUAUAUUUACAUAUUUACUCCAUAAAUUUAAUUUUUUGUUAUUUUAUAAAUUCAUAUUCCCUUCAAUUUAAAAUAUGCUUUAGUUUCUAAUUAAAUUAUAUAAUAUCUCAACUUUCUUAACAUGUUACUCAUUGAAUCCAAAUUGUGGUAUCUCCGGCAACUUAUCUCACAAUUAUAUUUGCUAAUGAACAAUAGUAACUCAAUAAUGUAUAUAUUCAAUUUUCAGUGGUUGCAUAUGUUAUCAGAUUUUAUAUAUGAAUUUCUUUAUUAUUUGGUCGGAUUCAUUUUUAUAUUUGUCACACUAGAACUAUAUUAUUUUCUGCGAUGGAGCGCGAGCUAUUUCUAAUUAUGAUUAUAAAUGAAAUCAUUAAACUUUUACAUAAUUGGGGAGAUUACACACUUUGUAAUUACAUAUUCCAUUAUUGAAACAUAAGCUCGUGAGAGAGAGUGAAACGCUCCCAACUUUGGAGUAUUGUUUCAUUACAUCUUCCCUGAAGCUCGUCGGAGGAGGAGCUUUCUUUGUAGGUGCGCUCCUCUGGAGCUCCACUCGUGUUCGGUCUUCGCCGAUGGAUCUCUAAGAUCCCUGGGUUUUCCAUUCGCCUAGCUUUUGAUUUGAUUUUCCUGCGAUUUACUGGUUUUCUGAUUCUAUGACUGAUCCUUCGUCACUAAAUCGUCGGCGGGCCUGAGUGGUGGUGAGGCGAAGAAAUCUUGGGCAUCGAUUGUUGGAACGUGUGGGGCAGAUCAGAAAUUCGUUGAGGUGUCAGACUCAGCUUUUUUGGACGGAGCUCUUAUGAUUCCGAAGGAAAUUGCUGAUAUGGGUGUGAAAAGCUUAAGAUCGGAGAUUAUUGGGUAGUUUAUGGGGAAUCCGCCACUGAUGAGGGUUAUUGCGUCUAUGAUAAACAAACUUUGGGGAUACGAAGGGGAGGUAGUCCUAUCCGUUCUAUCUCCAUGCUUCUUUCUAAUUGAAUGUCCUUUGUGAAUGGGUAUUAGGGCGUGCUUGGUAUAUUCAUCACUCUGUUAUGAUCUCGCGUAAGUGAAAUCCAGGGAUUACUCCUUUAGAUAUUGAAGUUAAGGAGGUGCCGAAGUGGAAUUCUCUCUGGAAUGUUCCUCCACAACACAUUAAUGCUGCUAUUGAAUGGAUGGUCGGCAGAAUUGGUACACCUAUUAACAAGUUUGUGAGGAUAGGGCUUAUAGUUAAGGUGUGUAUUCUUAUGAGUGAAGAGAAGGAAUGUCCUCUAAAUGUAUCAGUCUGGUUGAAUGGAGAGUGAAUGGUGAUUGAAAUUAAAACACCAUUGGUAGAGUUUGCUUAUAAUAACUCUUACCAUAGUAGUCUGGGUAUAGCUCCGUAUGAGGCACUGUACGGACGAAAGUGUAGAACUCCAUUGUGUUGGGAUGAAGAGGGAGAAAGACAAAUAACUGGGCCAGAGUUAGUUCAGGAAACAGCUGAUAAGGUGAAAGUGAUUCGGGAAAAACUCAGAGUGGGUCAGGAUCGUCAGAAGCAGUAUGCAGAUCGUCGAACUCAUGAGAUCAGUUAUGAGGUCGGGGAAAAGGUUUUUCUUAAGGUAUCUCUUUGGAAAGGUCUAAUGCGAUUUGGGAGAAAAGGAAAGCUAGCUCCGAGGUAUAUGGGACCUUAUGACAUUAUAGGUAAAGUAGGACCAGUUGCUUAUACCCUUGCCUUACCAACUGAACUUGAUAGAAUCCAUAACGUGUUUCAUGUGAGUCUGCUUAAAAAGUAUCAUGUGGAUCCAUCUCAUAUUGUCCAACCGGAGGAGGUAGAGUUGGAGGAAGAUUUAUCGUAUCAGGAAGUGCCAGUUCAGAUUGUAGAUUCGCAAGUUCGAUCCUUGCGAAAUAAGCAGAUCCCUAUGUUGAAAGUGGUAUGGAGAAAUCAGGAGAAUGAGUCUGCUACAUGGGAGACGGAAGCAAGUAUGCGGGAGAAGUACCCUGAGCUAGUAGAGGCUUACUUAUCAGGUUAACUUAUUACUAGUUUCUUCAUUGAUAUGNNNNNNNNNNNNNNNNNNNNNNNNNNNNNNNNNNNNNNNNNNNNNNNNNNNNNNNNNNNNNNNNNNNNNNNNNNNNNNNNNNNNNNNNNNNNNNNNNNNNNNNNNNNNNNNNNNNNNNNNNNNNNNNNNNNNNNNNNNNNNNNNNNNNNNNNNNNNNNNNNNNNNNNNNNNNNNNNNNNNNNNNNNNNNNNNNNNNNNNNNNNNNNNNNNNNNNNNNNNNNNNNNNNNNNNNNNNNNNNNNNNNNNNNNNNNNNNNNNNNNNNNNNNNNNNNNNNNNNNNNNNNNNUGAAAGAGUAUUAAAGGGGGCAUACACCCAGUUAAUUAAAGACAAAAAUACCCCGUAGCUUAUAGCCUUGACACUUAAGAGAAAUAUAGCACGGGUACUCACUUCGUAUCAUCAAAGAUCUUUGGAAUUACGUUAUCGACUCAGAAGCUUAUAUUGGUAUUCUUAAGAAUUAUUUCUGAUGAGGGUCUCCUGCGUAUCCGACCGGGUUAGACAUUCCAUUAUGAGUUUAUUAUUAUUAAGGCUAUAUGCAUGAUAGGGUAAUGCCCGUUUAAUCUUAAGAUUUUAUAUGCUUCUUUAUCAUCUUUAUUACUUAAUAUGAUACAUGUUCUGUUACUUUGCUGAUAUAUCUGAUUUAGUAUAUGUGUUAAUAUGAGCAGUAGUUGUUGCUGAUUAUUGAAUAAAUCUGGUAAUUGAUUGAUCACCUAGUUAGGGCCCGUAUGCUGGCGAUUGUGCUUAUUGCACUUCUGUUACGCGAUGGGCCUUGGUACCCGCCACAACUAACUAUUGUCGUGGGCUUUGAUAAGCGCCACACUAACUCUACGUGGGCCAUUUUAGUGCCACUAACUCUACGUGGGUCGUCAGCAUAUGUGAGCCGGAAUCCCAAAUAAAAUAUGGAUAUAAAUUAGAUUAUAGAAAUAGCCUUAUGUGUUAUAUUUUGUGUACCUCCUAUAUGAAUAUUUGUACCAUAUAGUGAUUAGGACGUAGAUCCUCACUUAGUGAUCAGCACUGACCCUUACUUUCCAUUUCAGAGCGACAGUAGGCUUUACUAGGUCACACACUGCAAAAUGGUAUCAUCGAGCUCCGGGGUCGGUCAUCAUGGUGACGACGCCAGGUAGAUAUCGAAGAUUGUGUCUUGAUCCUCGUUUUGUAUUUAAAGUUUAUUUGAGACUCUUACUUCCAUCAUGUGCAUAUGUUAUGAGUGGUUAUGUACUAGUACAAUGUGAGAUAUGGUUUUGUAAAAUGUAGUGGCCGAGAGGGCAAGUAUAUGGUUACUCUGGUUCGAGCCUGUGAAUCUCGAGACUUCUGUUCUAUAUGUAUAUGCGUCCUGUUGGACUUCUGGUAUAGUGUAUGAUAUUGUGUAAAGUCAAUAAGUCAUAUAUGACAUCUUGAGCAGUUUUUGUAUUGACGAAUUAAUUAUAUGAGUACAUAUAAGCACAAUCCUAGAUUAUGAUGAAGGAAUUAAUCGGAAUUAAUCGGAUGGGUGUAAACAUUAAAUUAUGUAUACGGUAUAAGGAGCGUAGCACCCUAUUAUUGCUUCGCUGUUUUAUUUUAAAACGAACAUGUUAGUAGUGUGGGUGUUACAUUUUCCACUUGGAAUUGGUUUACAAACUGAACAUCCUGGUUAUUCUGGCGGAGUAGUAUAUAACUAAACAUCUUGAAGCAUUAUGAGCAGUUUAUGCUUGUACAGGUUACUGGUUCAUGUCCUUUUCAAAUUUAUGUGGUUUAUGAGGCUAAUAAAGUGGAUGAAAGGAAGAGAAUGUAUGAUAUGUUAAGAGGCCAGCUUCUUGCUAAUGUUCCUAUGGUUGGUUUAGGGGAUUUUAAUGCAAUUACAUCGCCCUUAGAAGUGUUAAACUCAGUUGGUAUUACUAAGAGUAUGAUGGAAUUUAAUGACUGGAUUGCUAUUAAUGAGUUGAUGGAUCAUCAGGUUGUUGGACCGUUCUUCUCUUGGCAUAACAAUAGAACUGAUGACCCUAUUGCAAGAAGGAUUAACAUAUGCAUGGUGGAUUUGGUUUGGAUCUCUCAAUUCCCUCAAAGUAUGGUGCAGAUGCUUGAGUCGGGGGUGUCAAAUCAUUGUGGCAUAUUGUUUGAAACAAAAGUUAUGGUUGGUUCCAUUCCUAAAGCGUUUAAAUUCUUUAAUUUUUAGGUUGAUUGGUCUGGAUAUUAGGAAAAUGUGGCUAGCGCUUGGGAUAAAUCAGAUGCACUGACUCAUCGAGCAGGGUUUGAGAAAAUUUAUGCUAGACUUCGUAAUGUCAGAGGUAGCUUGCGUUGGUUUAACAAACAAACGUGUUACUGAAGCUGAACAAAGUAUGAAGUAUCACCAAGCUGAGGCUAUGAAUAAUCCCGAUCACCUCUAUGUUGCUAAAGAAAAAGAGAGUUGUGGUAGCUGGAUGAAAUUAAAGAAUUCAGAGGAGAGUUUUCUUGCUCAUAAGGCAAAAGAGAACUGGUUGAAAUUGGGAGAUUCAAAUACGAGAAUCUUUCAUAACUCUGUUAAGAUCAAGCAAGCUAAGAAGUAGAUUAUUCAGAGUGAAGACUCCAUGGGAAGAAUGGUUAAUGGAGUUAAUGAUAUUGCAGAGGUUAUUGUUAACUACUACAUGGAUUUGCUGGGAAAUACUAAUAAUGAAGUAGAGCAUUGCUCCAAGGAGCAGCUUACUCCUCUCCUUAUCAAGAAGAGGAGGAGAUCGGGAAAGGGCUUUUCUCAAUUCCUGAUGGCAAAAGUCCCAAACUUGAUGGAUUUUCAGCUCUUUUUUUCAAGAAUGCUUGGGAUAUAGUUGGGCCUGAAAUUGUUGAAGUAGUUAAAAAGUUCUUUGAUUCGAAGAAGAUUCCAAGGGUGGUAACUCUUCACUUCUAGCAUUGGUUCCUAAAAAGAUUAACGCAACUAAUAUUUAUGAUUAUAGGCCUAUUUCUUGCUGUAAUGUCCUUUACAAAAUCAUUGCCAAAGUUCUUACAAAUAGAAUGGUGAGCUGCCUACCCGUGUAUGAUUAGCAACUCUCAAUCUACAUUUGUGAAGGGGAGAACAAUUAGAGACAAUAUCCUACAUGCGCAUGAGUUAGUAUGUUCUUAUCAUCUCAGUCACAUUUCUCCUCAUUGUGCUUUAAAAGUUGACUUCAUUAAAGCGUUUGAUUCGGUUGACAUUACUUACUUGAUCACUGCUCUGAGAGCUAUGGAGUUCCCUGAGAAGUUUGUUGGUUGGAUUAAUGGAUGCAUUACCACAAUUAUGAUUAGUAUUGGUAUUAAUGGAGGUAUGAUUGGUUACUUUGAGGGGGGGGGGGGGGGGUUGGGGGAGGGGGGGCCCCUUCGUCCCAAUCUUUUGGUUUUACCGUUGUUGACUUCAUUAAAGCGUUUGAUUCGGUUGACAUUACUUACUUGAUCACUGCUCUGAGAGCUAUGGAGUUCCCUGAGAAGUUUGUUGGUUGGAUUAAUGGAUGCAUUACCACAAUUAUGAUUAGUAUUGGUAUUAAUGGAGGUAUGAUUGGUUACUUUGAGGGGGGGGGGGAAGGUUUGAGGCAGGGGGAUCCCUUGUUCCCAACAUUGUUUGUUAUUGCUAUGGAGUCCCUUCACUUCUUAUGUUGCAGGCUGCUCAACAGGGGUCAAUUCCAUUUCACCCCAAGUGUAAAAGGCUCAAUAUCACUCGUCUAUGCUUUGCAGAUGACUUACUUGUUUUUACCAAUGGCUCUGUGAAUGGAGUUAUGGGAAUUCAAGCUGUCUCGAACCGUUUCUAUAGGAUAUUAGGCCUCCAGCUUAAACCGGAAAAAAUUGAGAUUUUCUUCUCACGAACACUUAGUCCUCAGGUUUGUGAUGAUGCUAUUAUGGCUUUAGGUUUUAGAGAGGGCAAGCUUCCUAUCGGAUAUCUUGGAAUCCCUUUAAUCUUUGGUAAGCUCUCAACUAAGGAUUGUGAUAUAGUUGUGGAAAAGAUCACAACCAAAAUAAAGGGGUGGAGAGUUAGGCUUCUUAGUUAUGCAGGUAGACUACAAUUGGUUAACUUUGUGUUAUCUUCUAUGAGCCAGUAUUGGUUGUCUAUCUUCCUGUUACCAAAUUCCAUUAUUUGUCCAAUUGAGAAAUUUUGUGAUGGGGGUAAGAAGAAAGAAAAAUUUGCUUGGAAAUCAGUGGCAAAACAGAAGAAGGAAGGUGGACUUGGUAUUCGUGAUCUCAGGGCCUGGAAUCUCGCUUGCAUCACUCGGAAUAUUUGAAGCAUUCUCCUUAAGUCCGACUCUCUAUGAAUUGCUUGGAUUGAUAGUUACAGACUUAAAGGUGGGUCAGUGCUGCUCAGUAAAGGGCAGCCUUACCACUCUUGGAUUUGGAGAAGAAUUCUUAAGACCAGACACUCUGCAACUCAAUUCAUUACUUUUGAUUCUGAUGGUGCUCCUCUUUGGCAAGGUAACUUGAUGCUUAAGUUCUCGGUCUCAACUGUCUGGGAAACAUUUAGGGCUCGUGGUCCUAUUUUUGUUUGGUUUGACUUCGUCUGGAGAGUGCCUCGUAUUAAUAAGCAUUGCUUCAUUCUUUGGUUGGCAAUGCAAAGUCGUCUUACUACAAAAGUGUGGAUGGAUAGCUGGGGGCUUAGUAUUGAUGUUUCCAGCAUGCUUUGUCACAAUGGAGUUGAUUCCAUUGAGCAUUUAUUCCAAGGUUUCUCCUUCUUGAAAGAGAUCCGGCGAUACUGUUUUGGAAACUCUGCUGGCUCAGCGGGGAGUUGGGAGGAAGAAAUUAAGAUUCUGUCUUAGCAUAAUAGAGAUAGUUUGAAUGAUGGACUAUUUAGACUUAAGCGGAGAGCCUUGAUUUGGAAUGUUUGGUAUGAGAGGUGUCUUUGUAAUGCAGGGGAGAGUGCAACCUCAGCCUAUAUAGCCUUGCUCGCUACCCGAUAAUCUCGGGUUUCGGGUGUACCCGUACCGUCAACGGGUCAUUUUGACCAUGUAAUUUCAGCCCGUGUUGGGUGGGUUUCGGGUUUGCCUUCCUUAUAUGCCAAUCGGUCUGCUUGUGGGGUUGAUUUUUGCAAGUAUGCCUAAAUGCGGAGUUUUUGGUAUCUCUUCACUUACUAUACAAGUGGCCUCUACAACAAAGCGGAAGAUCAUAUCAUAUCUCAUCUUCUCCAAAAUCCAUAAUAGGUCAUACUCUCUUAACUACCACCAGAGAACUCGAAGCUUCUGACGUUCAGUGUUCUGCCACAACAAGCUGAUGAAACCUCUAUCGUCAUUCCUCAGCAUGAGAGGAGGCUGAAACCCUCCGCUUCUCUUUCUCUUUUUUGUCUAUAGGUGUAGUCUUUCCAUUUGUGAUUAGGGUUCAGUUGAAGCUCUAUCGAUCUAGUAAUUCCAUUGUAACCUUCCCUCUGAUUAGUGCGAUUUCCUGGUUGAGUCUUCCCUCUCUGAGGCUCCGCUAAGUAGGAGAGUUAACUCCGAACAACGUUAACAAACUAUAUGUCUCUUUAUGUUUCUUGCUUGAUCUUCCUUUGUAUGUUUGAUAUGCGAGCGUCGGAGAGCCAGUGAGAUUUUGUUCUAUUGAUUCUGCUGCGAGUGAGACCGGAUCCGAUAUUAGAGAGUAAAGAAAGAGGAGAUUCAGUGCUAAUCACUGAGUAUCUCUAAAGGCAUUGCAUUAAAGAGUUAUAAAAACAAGCAAGAAGAACAACUCUUCAAAACUGAACAUAAUAAUAGGUGCUAAUAGUAGAGGAUAAAUGUGUUAGUGAAUAAUAUAAAUAUUAAUCAGCGGAACCCUCCAACACUUCGAGUUAUUGGGAUGCAACGGUUCUUGACAUGGUAUUCGAGCUUUAAAAGACCGAGAGGUCUCCGUUCUGAAUCUCAGUAGCCCCCAUUUCGUGCACAUGACUUACCACGUGAAGUUGUGAAAAUCUCAACACUUCUUAGAGCUUCUGUUUGAGGGGGGUGUGUUAGUGAAUAAUUUAAAUAUUAGGCAACAAACUCUAAAAUGCCACGACCUAUAGGCAUAUCACCAAAAAUGUCACCACAGUUUUUAUAUAAUUUCUACGUCACGACCUAUCAAAUACUUCAUAAAUAUGUCAUGUCAUUAGAUUUAUUUGUGUUCCAGCCCCAUGUGGAUUUGACGAUGUUAAAUGAGUCAGCAAAAAUGACUGUUUCACCCACCACGUAGGCAUAAAUCUAUCCGACUAAAUAAUUGAUAAUUUAAUUUUAAUUUUAAAACUCAAGUUUUUCAAAUUUAAUAUGCAUCGUCUAUUUCAUCUAAUUAACACCCAGCUCCUUCUUUUAAACUCAUAUUUAUCACCUACAACUAGAAGACGAUGACAGUAACACCACAAUCGUCUAUGACAGAUUGAACUAGAACCACCAUUGACAACGAGGUUAUGGUGGACGGGCAAAAACUCGAAGUAGGCCAUACUAGGGAUGAGGGUGACAGAGACAUCGGACGGUUUACAGAGCGGGUUCAAAUUGACACCAAAAUAGGAUCAGAGCUGUAAAUAUGUGACCUCCAUCUCUCGCUCGACUGUCAGCAUCAAUUUCCUUUCCCCUGCUGAUGUACUGGAGUUGUAUGUACUGUAACCAAACUAAUUAGAUGAAUUUCAGUUCAGUGUGUCAUUUAAAGUAAUGAAAAGUUAGUAAAUUAACUAAUCAAGCAACCUGGUGAGAAAUUCGGAGAUGGGGGAGAGAGCAUAUAGAGAUUGAAUUAGAGUCCAUAAUGGCAGAGGUUUUGUCUACGGUAUCAUCCCAGUGAAAGGCAAGCCCGUAAGUGGAUCCUCCGAUAGUCUCCAUCCACUAUGGAAAGACUUUGUUUGAUUCCAUCAGACAACCAUUCAAGCCCUACUUCAAUUCCACACCUCCCCCUUGUAUGCACCAUCGUCGAUCAUCCUGCCGCGAACAGACUCCACAAGCUGUAGGACACGAUUCUGGGAUCCCUGAUUUCGGUGCUGAUGCAGCACUACGUCCCUCGCCGUCAGCGGUUCCCGUUGGAGAGGGGACUGCCUCCGUGGUGGUGGCUGAUCGGGAACGAGAUCUGGUGGGAAGGAGAAGGAUCGAUGACGGAGCACGACCCAUGUUGUACCGGAAGCCACACGAUCUGAAGAAGGCUUGAAAGUUGAGCCUGAUGACGGCGGUGAUGAAGCACAUGGCGCCUGAUUUCUACCGAAUGCGACGGCGGCGGCGGCGGCAACGGUGGUGGAGUGAUUAGGGAAGCGAGAUGGCGGAAGAACAUUAGGGUUUCAAAGAAGAAAUAAGGUGUUAAACUAAAAUGGAUGGUACAGAUUGAAUUUGAUAAAAAUGUGUUUUAAAAUUAAAACUGAAUUAUUAAAUAUCCAGUCAGAUGGAUUUAUGCCUAUGGCAGGUGAAACUGUAAUUUUAACUGACUCAUUUAACGGCGUAAAGUUCAUGUGGGUUGUAAUACCGAAAAAUUUAAUGGCGGGAUAUGGAAGAUUAAGUAUUGGACAGGUCAUGACGAAGAAUAGAGUUGACAACUCGGUUUUGGUUAAUCGGUUAACCGACCGAAUCGGUUAAAAUUGGUUUAACCAAUAUUAGGUCAGUUGGUGAAAUAGUCUAUGUAUUCGUAAAAUCGGAUAAUCGGUUAAAAGUUGGUUAAAUGAAAUUAUCGUCAAAUCCUGAGUGAAAUUACCUCUAUUCAAUGAAAACUAUCCCAAUUUUGACAUUAAAAGUGUAGGUUAAAAUUAGUCGGUCGGUUAACCUACGGUUAUUUAACCACGACGGUCGGUUAAUUGUCGGUUAAUUAACUGUUGAAGUCGGUCAGUUAGUUAAAAAAGUUAACCAAUCUGAAUGUUCAUUUCAUUUUUUCCGAUAGGGUUGGACAUCUUGUAACGGUUAUUUAGGUAUACCCAUACCCGUCCCAAUUUUUUAGGGUUAUGGGUACCCAUAAUACUUGUUAUAUUCAAACAGGAUGGGAUAUGGAAUUAAAAAUUGACAUAUGGGAUACCCGUGGGUUACCCGCAAAUCCCAUUCGGUAUUUUGGGUUCCAGUAAUACCCAUUAAAUUAUUAGAAUAAUAUAAAUAAUUGCGCCCUUUAAUGAAGGUUGAAACAUGCCGAAAAGUCUAAUGGGAUUGAGAUUAGAGCUAAAAAUUUUGUAUAAUAUUAGACUA
rnacentral:lncRNA from 1 species